rnacentral:misc_RNA from 1 species
GUAGCGGAGUUGGCAUCAGUGGACCGGACGACCUGCUGAGUGCCGACCGACCUCUAAUACGCAGUCGUACUGGAUCCUUGUGAAGUUUCCUGGACUUGUCACUUCUUGAACAUUGAGGUGUGACCCCUUGUGAGGUGGGCAUCCACCAGCUCCAGACAAAAUGAAAGUGAAUAAUUCUGAGGGGAUUGAUAACAUGGGCCAAGAAGAAUAUGAGAAUGUCUCCAACCUCGCCUCAUCUUUGGGUAGGCUGUCUCUCCACCUCAAAGACAAUGACCUACCAGAAGUGGAGCACUCCCUUGCAAAGAUCUCCUUACAUGGGCAGGAUGAGGAGGAUAGCCCCCAAGAAAGCCAGAAUGAAGAGGAACAGGAGGAUAAGGAACCCAUAGAUUUAGUACAGCACACAUCUCCUAGUCAUGAAGAAGAAAAUGACGGAAACAAGAAGAGUGAAGACAAGGUGAAGGAAGUUUGUUCAGAUAAGAUGAGUCAGGAAGAGAGCACGAUAAAGGUAGAAGAAGAUCUGAGCCAUGAUGAGGAAAAGGACAUCACUGUCCCUACCAGAGAUGCAACUCUUAGAAUAAAGACUGAAGUGUCUUCUGACUCUGAAGAAGAGAAAGAAGAAGAAAAUGAUGAAAAGAGUGAAGAGAUAAAAGAAGUGGUCAAUGCUGAUGAACCAGAAGUAAAGGAAAAAGUGAAGGAUGAAUCAAUAGAGAAAGAAGAGGAUCACUCAGAUGAUGAAAAUCCACCAGAUGAGGUGAAACAAGAAAAGAAGCCCUCCAAACUUAGGACCAGAGGGGGCGUUGAAAUCAACAACUACUAUAUGUAUAAUUCAGGUGGUCGGCAGAUGUGUGAGUCACAAUACCAACAGAGAAUACGUGAACCAGACUAUUCUCUUCCAGGCCCUUAUGGAGCAAAUAAUUUAAUCAACUAUAACUGUGGGAGUGUGAGUCCUCAGUAUGCUCAGUCUCUUGACUCCCCACCCAUGUACCCAAUUCAGGGAGGAGUGACAGACUCAGAUAUGUAUGGCGCAAAUGGAUCUGACAACUACACAUAUGGCCCCUCUUCAAGCCCCACAAGCAUGCAAGCUGGUACUUUGUGUGUGAGUCCUCAGUAUGCUCAGUCUCCUGACUCCCCAAGCAUGUACCCAAUUCAGGGAGGAGUGACAGACUCAGAUAUGUAUGGCGCAGUAAGUUAUACAAAUGGAUCUGACAACUACACAUAUGGCCCCUCUUUAAGCCCCACAAGCAUGCAAGCUGGUACUUUGUGUGUGAGUCCUCAGUAUGCUCAGUCUCUUGACUCCCUAAGCAUGUACCCAAUUCAAGGAGGAGUGACAGACUCAGAUGUGUAUGGCGCAGUAAAUUAUACAAGUGGAUCUGACAACUACACAGAUUGUUCAUCAAGCCCCAGAAGGCAGCAACUUACUUUUUUGGAUGAUAAUGGGGUCCACACAGAAUCAACUGAACUUCAACAGGUUCUGGAGGUAAUCGACAAAGUGGAACGUGAAAACUUGUCAUACCGUGCUCCUGUAAAUAAAUUGCAGAUAAUAAUUCAGAACUUGACUCAUGAGCUCUGUGAAGGUGAACCAAAAUGGUCUGACAACAGUUGGAAGAUGGAAUUUGACCGUCAGCAGCUCCUCCAGGCUAGAAAGAUGGUGGCAAGCAAGACCAAUGAAGGUGUUGUUAGAAAGGAUGAGGAUGGUGACACACCAUCCAUGAUUAUGGCAUGUAGGCCUGUGGACCAAGAUGGCUACACAGAGAACUUAAUGGCAUUAAUAGAACGACAGGAAGAUAUUCUCCUCUGCUGUGAUGAAGUUGUCAAUAGGACAACUGGACAGUGCACCAAAUGUGGCAAUAGUAAUCAGGACACAUUCUAUACUUCACUUUCCAUUAAAAACGUGCAGGGUGACUCAAUUCUGAGUAGUGUAAUUAAAAUAAAGCAUCCAGUGAGUGUGAUUAACUACGUCUUUAAGAAAAUUGAAAGUCGUCGCAGUGACUACAUUAGAAUUUUUGGCAGCCCUGACUACAAAUAUAAGAAUAUAAACCCAAUCCUGGAAAGGGUUUUUAACUAAAUAUCUACUUGGUGAUGAAGGAGAAGAAUCAGGUUGUUCAGGAGUGCUUUAUAGGCAGUACAGGAUGCGGCUCCUGGCAGUAUAUCUCCCAUUCUCUCUGGUGGUGGUCGUCGUCACGAUUUCUGUCAGCGACUCUGAUGAGAGGCACACAGAGCUAACAUCUCGAAGUGG